rnacentral:rRNA from 1 species
UACGUAGGGUGCGAGCGUUAAUCGGAAUUACUGGGCGUAAAGCGUGCGCAGGCGGUUCUGAAAGUCAGCUGUGAAAGCCCCGGGCUUAACCUGGGAAUUGCGGUUGAAACUACAGGGCUAGAAUCUGGCAGAGGGGGGGUGGAAUUCCACGUGUAGCAGUGAAAUGCGUAGAGAUGUGGAGGAAUACCGAUGGCGAAGGCAGCCCCCCUGGGAUAACACUGACGCUCAUGCACGAAAGCGUGGGGAGCAAACAGG